AUUUUCUAAUAUUUUUUUUCCAUUUAUUAGUCUGAUAUGUUGUUGUCAUUUUUUAUGCAGGAUAUAAUGGAAGUUUACCCAAUCGAAGGACGCUGCUUCUCCCAUUUGAAAUCUGGACAGGGUUGAUUGAAUAUGAGGGAUUUGUUUCUCUUUUAUCUUAUCAAUGGCUAUUCAUUGAUUUCGUUUAUUUUUUUUGUUAUUUGUAAAGUUUCAAUUAACUAUUAGGGUUAUUUACUUUUGGGUCGUUGAAUUCUUCUGAUUAGUAGAAGUAGAAGAGAAUUCAUCUCAAAAAAUGUAAAUUGUGAGAACAUCUCUAUAUUCCUUAUAAACCUAGAAAAGUAAUUUGUUAUAAAGCAUAAAUGUGAGCCAGAUGGUGGGGCUAAUGUUAUAGGCGCUUGUGAAAGGUUAUGUGACGAAAGUGGUCACAUUAUCGAAAAGAAUAGGACGACUAAAAGCCAAAUAUUAGUCAUGGACUCAAAGUUCACAGUGACAGAAGCGUUGUAGCCUGUAGGUAGUGGCAGCAACAACAACCAUCUUAUGCCUGUAAUAAAAGCAUCUCUGCACCAGAUUUUGCUUCUCUGGGCAUCAAUUUGCUGUAUGGAUCUCUUUUGAUACACCAAGACCAAAAUAACAAACGAUCUCUUUUCAUGCACCGAUCUCUCUCAUAAGAAGUAGAAGUAUAUUAUUGAAUUCUCAUAUACUCUUUACAAGCACCAGAAUCCCACAACCUCCACAAAAAUACAAUUAUAUUUCUCAUUUAUUUUUGUAGUUAAUUAAUUAAUAUAGCAAUUUGCGCAGAAGUUUAGAGUUAGAGUUUUUAUUAUUUGAAUAUUGAGUUCAGAAUAAAGUAUUAGAAUGAACUCAACAAACCUUAAUCUUUUCCUAUCCCUGGACUUGAGUUGUAGUUUGAUUAUCCAUUUAUUUCCUAGCUCUGAAUUUGAGUUGUAGUUUGCUUAUCCAUUUUAUUCUCUGGUUGUAUUUAGUCGCCGACCUUAAUAGUUUAGUUAUUUUGUUUAUGUUGCAUAUGAAUUAAAAAUUGCUAACAGUUUUUUAUCUGAUUCUGGUGAAUUUCCCGUGGCACAACCAAAGGGGAAAUUAGGGAAAAGUAGUGUCGGAUUAACGCAAAUAGAAUAACAAUUCUUGAUGAAAAUCAAGCAGCAAAAUCGCAGAGUUUGAAGGGCACGUCAAGAUAAACAAGCUAAAUGUUCGACAUAAGCUCGAAGAUCGGCAACUGAGAGUAACCAAAUACGACAUGAAGUGCUUCCCCCACAAGCCUAUGUGAUUAGACACUCAGUUAUACAACUCCUCGUGGCGGCGGCAGUGGAGAAAGUAGGAGUUUUUGUAGCAACAACAGUUCUUGGAUGCUGCUUCGAGGUAAUCGUUUGAUUUCAUCGGGUAAAUUUGUAUAUGUUUCAAGAUAAUAAUUUGAUUGCAUUGGGUAAAUUUGUAUAUAGUAACCAAUUUUUUUUUUGUUAUGUUUUAUGCUAAUUUUUUCUUAAGAAUCAAACGACCACAUAUCAAAUACUGGGAUAUGAUUUGUCAGGGGGAGAAAAUUCUUAUAGUGACUUUAGUGAUGAUGACCGUCAAUAAGUUAUGAAUUGCAGAAAACUUUUAUGUGUUUAAUUAACAUUCUUUCUUACAGAAGCAUAUUUUAAAUUCCACGUAUAAAGUGAAAGUAUAGCAUGACUAUAAUUCAUCCAUUACAAGUGUACAUAUCCCCAGGUUAGGUCUCUAAGUUUAUCUUCUCCCAUAGAAAUACCAACGUAUUCAGGGUAAUUAACAAUAGGGAAGGACUUAAUCUCUAACCGGAAGUGACGGAAAGAAAAAAAUCAUGUACAAUGCAAGGCAGCGGCAGACUGAGAAAGUGUGAGGUGACAUCGUCCUAACGGUUUCAUCAUGGGGACUGCACAAUCAACUUAUAAAUUCCACUGCAAGAGAUUUCGAAAUGUAAAGCGUAUGCUAGAAAUAACCAGAGGCGAUAAAUUUGAAGGAAAAACCGGUAUGAUAUCACUAUAUAAGACUAUCGG